UGCAAGUCGAGCGGACAGAAGGGAGCUUGCUCCCGGAUCGUUAGCGGCGGACGGGUGAGUAACACGUGGGUAACCUGCCUGUAAGACUGGGAUAACUCCGGGAAACCGGAGCUAAUACCGGAUAGUUCCUUGAACCGCAUGGUUCAAGGAUGAAAGACGGUUUCGCUGUCACUUACAGAUGGACCCGCGGCGCAUUAGCUAGUUGGUGAGGUAACGGCUCACCAAGGCGACGAUGCGUAGCCGACCUGAGAGGGUGAUCGGCCACACUGGGACUGAGACACGCCCAGACUCCUACGGGAGGCAGCAGUAGGGAAUCUUCCGCAAUGGACGAAAGUCUGACGGAGCAACGCCGCGUGAGUGAUGAAGGUUUUCGGAUCGUAAAGCUCUGUUGUUAGGGAAGAACAAGUGCAAGAGUAACUGCUUGCACCUUGACGGUACCUAACCAGAAAGCCACGGCUAACUACGUGCCAGCAGCCGCGGUAAUACGUAGGUGGCAAGCGUUGUCCGGAAUUAUUGGGCGUAAAGGGCUCGCAGGCGGUUUCUUAAGUCUGAUGUGAAAGCCCCCGGCUCAACCGGGGAGGGUCAUUGGAAACUGGGAA
rnacentral:rRNA from 1 species